rnacentral:tRNA from 1 species
AGUCUUAUAAUUUAUUUAGAAUAUUAAAUUGCAAAUUUGAAAGUGGGUAGAACCUAAGGCUU